UAAGGAAUAUUGGUCAAUGGGCGGAAGCCUGAACCAGCCAUGCCGCGUGCAGGAAGACGGCCCUACGGGUUGUAAACUGCUUUUAUACGGGAAUAAACCCCGGUUCGUGAACCGGGCUGAAUGUACUGUAAGAAUAAGGAUCGUCUAACUCCGUGCCAGCAGCCGCGGUAAUGCGGAGGAUCCAAGCGUUAUCCGGAUUUAUUGGGUUUAAAGGGUGCGUAGGCGGCUUUUUAAGUCAGGGGUGAAAGACGGUAGCUUAACUAUCGCAGUGCCCUUGAUACUGAAGAGCUUGAAUAUACUUGAGGUAGGCGGAAUGUGACAAGUAGCGGUGAAAUGCAUAGAUAUGUCACAGAACACCAAUUGCGAAGGCAGCUUACUAAGGUAUGAUUGACGCUGAGGCACGAAAGCGUGGGGAUCAAAC
rnacentral:rRNA from 1 species